rnacentral:rRNA from 1 species
CAGUAGCCGCGGGAAUACGGAGGGGGCAAGCGCUGUCCGGAAUUAUUGGGCGUAAAGGGCUCGCAGGCGGUUUCUUAAGUCUGAUGUGAAAGCCCCCGGCUCAACCGGGGAGGGUCAUUGGAAACUGGGAAACUUGAGUGCAGAAGAGGAGAGUGGAAUUCCACGUGUAGCGGUGAAAUGCGUAGAGAUGUGGAGGAACACCAGUGGCGAAGGCGACUCUCUGGUCUGUAACUGACGCUGAGGAGCGAAAGCGUGGGGAGCGAACAGGAUUAGAUACCCGAGUAGUCCCUGUCUCUUAUAC